rnacentral:misc_RNA from 1 species
GUUUGGUUUGUUACGGGUGGUUGGCUCUUUGCUUGCGCAACAACUUCCACCUGGCUUACCUCCUCAGUUAUGCGUCAUGACUUGUAUUGUCUUGAGCGUAUUGUGGGUUUCCUGUGUUGCAUACCUUUCUAAUGGUAUCGUGUUGAUUGAUCGAAGUCCCUUUUCAUCUUGUGUUGCUUUUUGCGACGCAUGAUGAACCUCGAGGCGGUCUCUAUGUUCCACCACGUUGAUGCUAGCGUUUUGAUGUUGUGGCCCAUUGAGUGUUGCUUGGUUUCGUGGAUACAGAACAUGAUUUGGGCAUAGGGUUACUUGUGUGACUCUUGUUUUGUCCUUUAUCUGUGUUCUUUAAAACGACGGUUCAUGCGCGCCUAGGCUCGUACCUGCGCGAUGUUCUUUGUCGAAGAGGAAUGCUACCUGGUUGAUC